rnacentral:misc_RNA from 1 species
GCACGAAGUGAUCCAUCAGAAUCCGUCACAUUGUCAAGACAUGUAAGAGCAACCUUCAGAAAGUCAGGUACACAAGCUUGGACAUGAGGAGACAAAUUCUGAAAUGCAUCUAGAGUGACAUCUGGCACUCUUGGAUCUAAUGGAAGAAAGGGAAUUUUAGCAACCUCCCUUAAAGCAUCAAGAUAAUGACCCAGUCUUGCCAGUUUGUGAACAGACAAAAUCGCUUCAAGUUGUCUCAACACAGUUUCUUGCUCUAAAACAUGCUCUCUCUCUUGAAGACUGGACAUCACAGCAAAGUAAUCUUUUAUGGUCAGAAAAAACGUACACAUUAAAAAAAGAAAAAGAUACCUAAUAAGUUGUUGAAGAUAUAAAGAAAGGAAAUUAGUUAAAAAUUCGAAAGAACAGACCUAGGAAUCAAUCAACAAAACAAAAUGUCUCUGAAAUUCAUAUUCUGCAAAUUUUUUAAUAAACUUGUAAAAGUUUAACAAUCCCAAUAUAUCCAACUUUAUUAAUCCCAUGGAAAAUUUUCAAAUUUGGAUUGAUGGCUAAGAAUCAAGAUGUUGUCAGAGCCACCACCACUGAGAUAAUUCACCAAUAAUGCUGCAUGAUUAAUAAAUAAAGUUUGAAAUUAUGUGCAAGCUGUGCAAAAAUAAGGGUCAAAGAAACAUUUAUCAUCACUUUCAAAAAAUUAAGAAAUCUCAAAGAUAAUUUAAUACUACCUUACUUAAGGAAUUAAGGAAAUUCAAGGCAUUAAGAAAUGAACUACCUGACUUCAGGAUAGUACUUGUAAGUCUCCAAAAUCUCAUUGCCAGAAUGAAUGAGACCAGUAGUCCGACUCUCACCAUCCAAUUUACUGCGUGACAGGGCACAGAUUGCCUCAGACAGGCACUUAUUAAUUGUAUCUAGAGCCACAGAGAAUGCUCCAAUCCUCUUCUGAAUUUCUAUGGAUUUAUCAUAGAGUCCAGUUUCCUGACACUGGCGAGCCGCUUCAAGCAGAAAUUGUUGUCUUACAUUGAUAUCAUUCAAAAACCGCACCAAUUCACCUUCUUCUCCAAUACCACGUGGACCAAGUAAAAGAUAAAUACCACCAUCUCGUAACAAUAGCUCAGUAAGGAGUUGCUUCAGCAUCAAACUUCUCUGUCUCCGCUGAUCCACAUUGCCUCUCCCAGUCCAUGACAACUCUCCACCCCCUACUGCAGCAGCAGCUUGCGCAUAAUAUUCCAAUGUCACCGGCAGAUUGCCAUGACGCAAAUGUGCAGAACCAUACUGCCUAAUAAUACUAGAGAUUUCAGCAUAAGCAUCCAUGACCCCUAGUUUUUGUCCAGCCCCAGCAACUUCAGAAAGAACCCCAUGGUCUGCUAGCACAAUUGAUAUGUGGACAGCAUCAAUAUCAUAUCCUUCAUUUGCAACUUCCUUAGACAAAUGUAAGACAGCUUUUAACAACUGGAUGCUUAAAAGCAACACAUAUGGGUAAACCAGAGGGUCCUUCCCAUUUUUGGUAUAAUAUGAUGGCUCAAAUUUAUUUAGAUAAGCCUGUAAAUCAUCCAAACUGUAUGGUACUGAACCUUCAUUCAGGACCACAGAUGAGGUUUCGCCAUGGAAGUCUCGUACAGCUGAUAACUUGAACCACAAAAAAUCCUCUAUAGUAUUGAAAAGUGUUGGUAGAUCUCUCAGCAGGCGGUCAAUUUGCCUCCUAGAACCAGAUACUAUAGCAUAGAGUAACAACUUUUUCUUGUCAUAUGCAGCUCGACCCACCCGAUCAACCAUUCUUAACAUUUUUUCACAUUCUUCUGAAGCAACAGCAGCAAUUUCCGCAGGCACCAUUCCUCCAGCGUUAAUCCACUCUGUAAGCAGAGAAGCAAAUUGCUGUGAAGCACGGGACGUGAGGGCAACGUUUCUUGCUUCAUCAUAAUACCCAGUUCUCAAGCAAAAAUAAAUCUGCUGCCAAGUAGUAUCAACUGGAGGUUGCCUACGUGUAUCUCCUGCAUCAAAAUCUAGAACUCCAUAAUCCCUUAAACGAAUCCGAAGAAACGCACGAAUUCUUUGUAAAUUCCCAACAGCUCCACCAAGGGCAGCCUGUGCUGGAUGACUUUGUAUUGUAUCCAUAAUAUACUUUUCAUGUCCCCAUUCUAGAUGGCGCCUUGCACCAAUCACUAAUGACAUUUUUCUAGAAAGAUUCUGAUGAAUGGUAGAAUUCUCACCCAUCAAUGUCUGAACAAGAUGCCAUAUCUUCUGCAUGUUAACUGAUUUUCCACUGGAAGCUUCAAUACCCAAACUUUCAUAAGCACUCUUGAAGGCUGUUGCAGGUUUAAAUUGCAAGCCACGUUCUCUCGCAUUGUUCAGACUUUUCACUACUUCGGCAUAGGCUGAAGCUUUUCUCUCCAGGAUAGGCUUGUUAGCUGUAGUUGCAAGCUCCAUGCCAGACGGACCAGACGAAACCUGAGGGCUGGAAGCCACAGAUGCUAUUUGACCUGAACGAAUAGCACCAGUACUUGUAUUAACUGCAUUAGUCCUGGGCAAUGUUGAAAUCCGGCUCAAGCUCUGAAGAAAGUCACGUUUCUCUUUUUGCCAAUCUUCCUCCAAAACUUUCAUCAUGUAAUCAUUAAAGCUUCUUAGGUUAUCCUUCUGAGCUUCCUGUAUGGCCGAAACCAUUGCCAUUUCAUGAACCUGUUGCAAGUAUUCUUCAACGCUUGUAGCCUCAGCAGGGAAUACAUCUUCAAAUGUUGUCUUCAAUUCAAAAGAUUUAAGAUCCCGUGCAAGCUGCUCAGCAUUUAUUCCUUCACGUGCAAGAAGCCUUGUUGCAGCAAUGGAUUGAGAAGGGGCUUCAGUUCUUAAAGUUUUUGCCUUGAGCUUCUUUGAUAAUGCUUCUAACUGAUCUAAGUUCCUCUGAAACAUUCACAGCUAUAAACUCAAUGCAAAGAACAAUCAAUUUGAUGAUUGGGAAAGACAAAUAGCCACCAGACUUCAAGAAAGUUUGUAAAUCCAAACAAAAAUGCUAUUGUUUCUUCUCUUUCCCACAAUUUUCAGAAAAUCAUGGUUAAACAAGCAUCAGUCAAAAAAAUGUAUUCCCCAAUCCCAACUCCCAAGCAAUAACAAUUAUUAACAUAACAUUUUAACUUCUAUAUGUUGCUGUUGACUUCUCUCAGCAACUUAAACAGCAAAUGGUAAAGCAAAUCCAGAGUGAAAAUAUUUGUCAUUUUCUCUUAUCACAUAAUGAAAAAUAUAGCACUUAGCCUUUCUAAUUUUCUUUUGCUUUCCCAAUUUGCCAGAGGAAAAAUGCUAAUUAACAAAAAAAUAUAUAUAGAAAAGCAUAUCUUUACAUUUUCAGUCGCAAUGUAACUGAGCAUUAGCACCUCAAUUCUAUCUUAAUAAUAGUUCGCAGUCUCGGAGAUUUUCUCGGAAACCAAACGGAAAGCGGAAAGUGAAAAAGAAAAGGAGGACAGUGGUGGACCUGGAGAGGAGGGAACUGAGCAGAAGGCGCAGCUUGUUCAAGAAGCUUCGAGGAGGAGUGGAGGAGAUCAGUCCAGCUACUCAUAUCUUGUUCAUUAGCCAUUAGCGUUUUGCUCUAAGCUGCGAAAUUGCUCUAUAAUCUCUGUC